GCAUCCCUCUCGGUCUUAGGCACCCUUCAGGUCGACCCCUAUUGCCCUCGCUGUCUUCCUGCACCUCUCGGACCAGCCUAGGUUAGUUCCGGAACCCUUCUUUUUCUUGUUGUUCUUUUGUUUUUCUUCCUCCGCAUUUCGCCCGUUCAGUUUCUCCAUGAGCGUCUUGUUUUCUAUUUUUUUAAUUUUUUCGAGAGUUUUUUGAGAUUUUCAUUUGAUUCAAAAUGUCCUCCAACACUUCCUCCUCUAGCAGUUCUAGGAGUUCGUCAGCUACAGCCCUCCAAAAUCCUAGUACUGUAGAUGGACCUCGUUCGGUCUUUGUACCUGACACCA
rnacentral:lncRNA from 1 species